GGAGCAAAAUCCAUUUCAACAAUCUUGUUUUCACUGAGUGAAAAACUGUCAUCAGAAAGCUGUGUUAAAGGGACAUGUAUGAUGACCGAUGGAAAAAUGUGGUUCAGAGGACAGCUGGCUUUGCUGAACCUUUCCCAUCUCAGGUUAUUACAAUCUUUUCUGUUUUAUUACUAAGAAUUAGCAAAAUCAGAGAUGAAUGAGAAUGGUGUCAGCCCUCAGAAAGCUGAUGAUCCUGUGGACUAGGAGAAAGUGUACAAAGAACACAGGGGAGCAUAACUUCAACUGGAGGAAGCUAAAAAAGUCAAACUGAAGAGAAAAAUAAAAGAAAUUAAUCUCCCGAAGGGAAAGUACUGCCUCUGCUGACUCUACCUAUUACCUACCAGCAGCUUGACACCUGAGGCCUGGGAACACCCAUCACUGGCAGACAGAGCAACCAGCACUCCAGAAGCAGAGGGAAGUUACAGGUCCCUGGAGACAAAUGAAUAUGCAAUGCUGCCAUCUUUAUUCUUCUUUCGUUGGCUUAAGACAAAACAGCUUUUUUUAAAAUUUUACUUUUGUUCUUUUCAUGUUUCCCUACUAUAAUCUUGCUUAUAUCCCUAAACUCCAUCAUGUCAAAGACAAAACUUACAAAGUGUUUAAAAACUCUAGUGCCACAAGAGCUGACAGCCUACUCAAAGAGACACUUAGGCUAAUGAAUAUAGUUCUCUGGGUAGCGUGUGUUUAGCUGUUUCUUCUCAUCUCGGUGG